rnacentral:rRNA from 1 species
UGGGGGAUAUUGCACAAUGGGCGAAAGCCUGAUGCAGCGACGCCGCGUGGGGGAUGAAGGCCUUCGGGUUGUAAACUUCUUUUGCUCUGAACAAGGCAUGCCUUUGGGGUGUGUUGAGUGUAGGGGUUGAUUAGCGCCGGCUAACUACGUGCCAGCAGCCGCGGAAUACGUAGGGCGCGAGCGUUGUCCGGAAUUAUUGGGCGUAAAGGGCUUGUAGGUGGCUGGUUGCGUCUGUCGUGAAAGCUCAUGGCUUAACUGUGGGUUUGCGGUGGGUACGGGCUGGCUUGAGUGCAGUAGGGGAGGCUGGAAUUCCUGGUGUAGCGGUGGAAUGCGCAGAUAUCAGGAGGAAUACCGGUGGCGAAGGCGGGUCUCUGGGCUGUUACUGACGCUGAGGAGCGAAAGCGUGGGGAGCGAACAGG